AGAGUUCGAUCCUGGCUCAGGAUGAACGCUGGCGGCGUGCCUAACACAUGCAAGUCGAACGGGAUGCGUAUCGGAAAGCUUCGGCCGGAAGAUGCGUUAUCUAGUGGCGGACGGGUGAGUAACACGUGGGUAACCUGCCUUAUGGAGGGGGAUAACAGAGAGAAAUCACUGCUAAUACCGCAUAAGCACACAGUACCGCAUGGUACAGGGUGAAAAGAUUUAUCGCCAUAAGAUGGACCCGCGUCUGAUUAGCCAGUUGGCAGGGUAAAAGCCUACCAAAGCAACGAUCAGUAGCCGAUCUGAGAGGAUGACCGGCCACAUUGGGACUGAGACACGGCCCAAACUCCUACGGGAGGCAGCAGUGGGGAAUAUUGCACAAUGGGGGAAACCCUGAUGCAGCGACGCCGCGUGAGUGAAGAAGUAUUUCGGUAUGUAAAGCUCUAUCAGCAGGGAAGAAAAUGACGGUACCUGACUAAGAAGCCCCGGCUAACUACGUGCCAGCAGCCGCGGUAAUACGUAGGGGGCAAGCGUUAUCCGGAUUUACUGGGUGUAAAGGGAGCGUAGACGGAAUGGCAAGUCUGAAGUGAAAUACCCGGGCUCAACCUGGGAACUGCUUUGGAAACUGUUGUUCUAGAGUGUUGGAGAGGUAAGUGGAAUUCCUGGUGUAGCGGUGAAAUGCGUAGAUAUCAGGAAGAACACCGGAGGCGAAGGCGGCUUACUGGACAAUAACUGACGUUGAGGCUCGAAAGCGUGGGGAUCAAACAGGAUUAGAUACCCUGGUAGUCCACGCUGUAAACGAUGAAUACUAGGUGUCGGGGUGCAAAGCAUCUCGGUGCCGUCGCUAACGCAAUAAGUAUUCCACCUGGGGAGUACGUUCGCAAGAAUGAAACUCAAAGGAAUUGACGGGGACCCGCACAAGCGGUGGAGCAUGU
rnacentral:rRNA from 1 species